GACGAACGCUGGCGGCGUGCUUAACACAUGCAAGUCGAACGGAAAGGCCCUGCUUGCAGGGUACUCGAGUGGCGAACGGGUGAGUAACACGUGGGUGAUCUGCCCUGCACUUAGGGAUAAGCCUGGGAAACUGGGUCUAAUACCGGAUAGGAGCCAUUUUUAGUGUGAUGGUUGGACAGUUUGUUCGGUUUUGGAUGAGCUCGCGGCCUAUCAGCUCGUUGGUGGGGUAAUGGCCUACCAAGGCGGCGACGGGUAGCCGGCCUGAGAGGGUGGACGGCCACAUUGGGACUGAGAUACGGCGCAGUCUCCUACGGGAGGCAGCGGUGGGGAAUAUUGCAGAAUGGGCGCAAGCCUGAUGCAGCGACGCCGCGUGGGGGAUGACGGCCUUCGGGUUGUAAACUCCUUUCGCUAGGGACGAAGCUUUUGUGACGGUACCUAGAUAAGAAGCACCGGCUAACUACGUG
rnacentral:rRNA from 1 species